rnacentral:rRNA from 1 species
AGCAGUGAGGAAUAUUGGUCAAUAGCCUAACGGCUGAACCAGCAAUUUGUGGGAAUGCCUUUUUAUUUUAAUAAAAAGAGUAUAUUAGGUUUAACUUUAUAUAUUAUUUUUAUUAAAUUAAGAAUUCAAUACCUUUGAAUGUAAUUCUAGAUAAAAUAUUGAUAAUGACAAAGUUUUAUCUAUAUGUCUUGACCAAAUCUUGUGCCAGCAGUCGCGGCAACACAAGGAAGACAAGUGUUAUUCAUCUUAAAUCGGUUUAAAGGGUACCUAGACGGUGAAUUAGGCCUUAAAUGGAACGUUUUUACUAGAGUUAUAUAUGCAUGAGGACUGUGUGAGUAUUACCAGAGUAGAGAUGUAAUUUUUUGAUACUGUUAAGACUGGUAAAGGCAAAAGCAAACCUUUAUAUAUUAACUGACGUUGAGGGACGAAGGCUUGGGGCGCAAACAGGAUUAGAUACCCCAGUAGUCCAGGCAGAGAAUUAUGAAUGUCAUAGAAUAGAUAUAAUAUUUAUCCUAUAAAUGAAAGUGUAAGCAUUCCACCUCAAGAGUAAUGUGGCAACGCAGGAACUGAAAUCAUUAGACCGUUUCUGAUACCAGUAGUGAAGUAUGUCGUUCAAUUUGUUAACCCUCAAAAAACCUUACCACAAUUUGAAUAUAUUUAAUAGAUAUAUAUUUUUAUAUCUUUAUUUAUACAAGCGUUGCAUUGUUGUCUUCAGUUAAUGUUGUGAGAUUUUGGUUAGAUUCAUUAAAUUAACGUAAUCCUAUAUUCUAUUUAAAUAUUAAUAGAUUAGUUCACCGCUAUAUUGGAUAUUGAUAACCGGGAGUAAGACUAGUCGUAAUGACCUUAAUAUUGUGGGCUAUAGACGUGCCACAU